GGGCGGGUAGCCCAGCCAGGACAGGGCACGAGACCAGUAGGCUCAUAGCCUACAGGCGUGUUCCUCCUAAGCUCGGGGUCGCGGGUUCAAAUCCCGCCCCGCCCGCCA
rnacentral:tRNA from 1 species